UACGUAGGUGGCAAGCGUUGUCCGGAUUUACUGGGCGUAAAGAGCGCGCAGGCGGUCGUUCAAGUCGCGUGUGAAAGCCCCCGGCUCAACUGGGGAGGGUCACGCGAUACUGAUCGACUCGAAGGCAGGAGAGGGAAGUGGAAUUCCCGGUGUAGUUGUGAAAUGCGUAGAUAUCGGGAGGAACACCAGUGGCGAAGGCGACUUCCUGGCCUGUUCUUGACGCUGAGGCGCGAAAGCUAGGGGAGCAAACGGGG
rnacentral:rRNA from 1 species